GUUGUCAGAGGUGAAAUUCUUGGAUUUACGAAAGACGAACUAAUGCGAAAGCAUUUGCCAAGAAUGUUUUCAUUAAUCAAGAACGAAAGUUAGAGGAUCGAAGACGAUCAGAUACCGUCCUAGUUCUAACCAUNAACGAUGCCGACUAGGGAUCGGCGGGUGUUAUUGUAUGACCCCGUCGGCACCUUAUGGGAAACCAAAGUGUUUGGGUUCCGGGGGAAGUAUGGUUGCAAAGCUGAAACUUAAAGGAAUNGACGGAAGGGCACCACCAGGAGUGGAGCCUGCGGCUUAAUUNGACUCAACACGGGAAAACUCACCAGGUCCGGACAUAGUAAGGAUNGACAGAUUGAGAGCUCUUUCUUGAUUCUA
rnacentral:rRNA from 1 species